CCUCAUAAGCAUUUAUUGUUCAAAGCUUCUUGAGGACUUAGUUAAAUGAUAAGUGGUAACUUCGAUUAAAUGGAAACACUAUUAACUAACUAAUAAUGCAAUGUUAGGUUAUCAAUGGUGGGAUUGGAAGCAUCAACGGGAAGACCUUGACGUUCGAAAACGGACAUAAACAAGAUUUCGAUGCGAUUGUGUUUGCUACUGGUUACAAAAGCUCCGUUUGCAAUUGGUUAGAGGUAUUUUAACAUGAGUACCCUAUUGGACAACGAUAUAUGUUAAGUAUAGAUUUGAUCUUAUCAAGUGAAAAUGAAAUCCUAACGAGUAACGAGACUAGGAAAUACUCUUGUGCAUAAAUACUUGUAUAAUGAUGUGUUUUUGUGAUAUUAUACAGGACUAUGAAUACGUGAUGAAGAAGGAUGGAUUCCCCAAAGCACCGAUGCCAAAACAUUGGAAAGGAGAGAAGAAUCUUUACUGUGCCGGAUUUUCAAGAAAAGGAAUCGCCGGAGGUGCUGAGGAUGCUAUGUCUGUAGCCGACGACAUCAGAUCUAUCUUGGCUACCUUAAAAAAUAAUUGAAGCUGUAUUCAUUAACCUGCAAGAUAUUAAGACUUAAUAAUAAAAUGAAAGAGAGAAAAAAAUAGUAAGAGGUAAGAAUAUCUAUAUAUCUACUCUAGUGCGCCAUGUCUUUAAUAUCCGUAAAAUAGUAAAAAAUAAUUAAAGCUGUAUUCCGUGAAAAUAUUAAGACUUAAUAAAAUAAGGAAAGAGAAAAAAAA
rnacentral:sRNA from 1 species